rfam:Ixodes scapularis strain Wikel colony gcontig_1108378386420, whole genome shotgun sequence.
GCAGUCGUGGCCAAGGGGGUAAGGCGAUGGACUAGAAAUCCAUUGGGAUCUCCCCGCACAGAUUUGAAUCCUGUCAACUGCG